CGAAUCUGCCCUCCGGCACUGGGAUAGCCCGGGGAAACCCGGAUUAAUACCGGAUAGCCUCUCGAGCUCUCGGGCUUGAGAGAAAAGAUGGCUUAGGCUUUCGGCUGAGGAGGAGCCUGCGGCGGAUUAGCUUGUUGGUGAGGUAACGGCUCACCAAGGCGACGAUCUGUAGCUGGUCUGAGAGGACGAUCAGCCACACUGGGACUGAGACACGGCCCAG
rnacentral:rRNA from 1 species